rnacentral:rRNA from 1 species
ACACGUAGGGGGCGAGCGUUGUUCGGAAUCAUUGGGCGUAAAGGGCGUGCAGGCGGUCGUGCAAGUCCGGCGUGAAAGACCCCGGCCCAACCGGGGGGACGCGCUGGAAACUGCAGGGCUUGAGUACAGGAGGGGAUGCCGGAAUUCCAGGUGUAGGGGUGAAAUCUGUAGAUAUCUGGAAGAACACCGAUGGCGAAGGCAGGCAUCUGGCCGGAGACUGACGCUGAGGCGCGAAGGCGCGGGGAGCGAACAGGUUUAGAUACCCUGGUAGUCCGCGCAGUAAACGAUGCGCACCAGGUGUCGGGCGGCAGCGCCCGGUACCGGAGCUAACGCGAUGAGUGCGCCGCCUGGGGAGUAUGCCCGCAAGGGUGAAACUCAAAUGAAUUGGCGGGG